rnacentral:RNase_P_RNA from 1 species
GGAGGAGCGUACCCGAUCGCCGGUCGCGCCCCGCGGGCGCGACGGGAGGAAAGUCCGGGCUCCACAGGGCAGGGUGCUGGGUAACACCCAGUCUCGGCGACGAGCAGGAAAGUGCCACAGAAAACAGACCGCCGAGCACUCCACCGGUUGGGUGCUCGGUAAGGGUGAAACGGUGAGGUAAGAGCUCACCAGUCCCGGUGGUGACACCGGGAGCUCGGUAAACCCCACCCGGAGCAAGGCCAAGUAGGGGAGCGUUUAAGGGUUGCCCGCCUGAAGCUCCCGGGUCGGCCGCUCGAGCCCGGCGGCAACGUCGGGCCUAGAGGAAUGAUCGGGGCCCGCCCUUCCCGGCGGGAACAGAACCCGGCUUACGCGCUCCUCCAAUC